GUUUUUGACCCGUAUGAUACACGGAUAAUAUAAUAAUAUAAAAUAACAAAAGUUAUUAUGUGAUGAUAAAAAAAUAUUCUAAUUAAUAUUAUAUUUUUUUAACAAAUAAAGAAAUAUACUAUCAAUCUUAAUAAUAAUACAUAUUAAAGUACAAAAAACUAGAGAAAAAAAAUUAUAGACCAAAAUAAAUACUUAAGUAAAAAGUAAAAUUCAACCCUACUUUAUUAUCUAUGAAUUGGUAUGCAAAACAAUUCACAUUUGCAUAUUGAUGUGCAAAAUAAAAUGAUAACUAAAAUUGAUAUGAAAAAUUACAAAUAAUAUUAAUAUUUAAGAACUAAUUCUAGGCUAUUCAUCAUCUCUGGAUGAUGAAAUUCAGGCAUAGUAUACAGACAAAUCACUCUGACUUUGAUCUUCCAUUUGUCUCCAAGAAGAGUGAUGUCACGUAUAGAAUCAUACCCAAGUGCCAUAUCCUGAGAACAAUAAGACAUCCAAGAAAAAAAAUUAAUAUUUGCUUCGUAUUUAAAUAAUAAAAUAAAAAUAAUAUGUUCUAUUUUAAAGCAUCGACAUCUAAGAACUAAGAAAAUUCCAGGAGUGAUAGUAGAAAAAAAAAAUUACGAAGUAAAAAUUACAGAAGGAGUGAUAGUAUGGAAGUGACAUGCAAUAUCUAUAUCUAUAUCUAUACUAUUUAUAAAAGCGUGAGUUUUGAAUUUUUUCCUCUUUCCAAAAAUGCCUCUAUCCUUUUUUACUAAUAUUUUUAAAUCCAAUAAUUUUCAACCAAUCAUUUCAAAUAAUUAACUAAGUAAUAAUUUAUUCUCAAAUAAAGAUAUUAAUUUUUUGUCAUUAGAUCUUAUCUAAUGAUUGAAAAUAAAAACAUCUGUCACUUUUUGUGACAAUAAUACUCUCGUAUUUAUAUCAUAUUUUCUAUCUAU
rnacentral:lncRNA from 1 species